UUAAAAAUAAAAAAUAAAUGCAAAUUCUAUCCAUUUCCGAUCAAGUAAAUCACAACCUCGACAACUACGACAAUGGGCGGCAGUUUGAAAGGAGUGGCUGUCAUCUCCGGCGUCAAUAAUGACAUCAAAGGCUCUCUUCACUUCAUCCAACACCCCACCGGGAUAACACAUGUAAAUGGAAGAAUCACUGGGCUUACACCUGGCCGCCAUGGCUUCCAUAUUCAUGCUCUUGGUGAUACCACUAAUGGUUGCAACUCCACUGGGCCUCAUUUUAAUCCAAUGAAGAAGGAUCAUGGAGCACCAUCUGAUGCAGAACGACAUGCGGGUGACCUGGGAAACAUUGUUGCUGGCAGUGAUGGGGUUGCUGAGAUUUCCAUUAGUGACUUCCAGAUACCACUAAGUGGGCAACACUCAAUUCUUGGAAGGGCUGUUGUGGUGCAUGCUGAUCCAGAUGAUCUUGGAAGAGGUGGGCAUGAACUCAGCAAGACAACAGGGAAUGCUGGUGCUAGAGUAGGAUGCGGUGUAAUUGGGUUGCAAUCGUCUGUUUAAAUCCGAUGGAAAAUGUUGAACGACAUAUUUACGGUUUCUUUGUAAGUUUACGUAGCAAUUAGAUCAAGGAGUAACAGUAACUCACUUUGGCACGCGGCACGAUUGUAUGAACAAGAAGAAGCAUCUCUGUAAUCUGUAUGAACAAAAAGAGGCAUCUCUGUAUGAACAAGAAGAAGCAUCUCCGCAUCAGGUUGUACUGCUCCAGAGUCCAGAUACAAGCCAUACAACAAGUCGAGAUAAGUUUUCUGUCAUGACAUUACUCAUUAGAUAACAAAAAACAAACCAAAGAUUAACGUAGUGUCAUGAAUCAUGAUAUGAAUUAGACCAAACUCCAAAGAAAUUAAUAAGCGUAAGGUGUACGUGAAUCGUGAUCCUCCUGGAACAAUUUGAAUCCCUUAAACUCUUGAAUGUUAGGUUCGAAAACGAAAACGAAAACGAAAAUGCGUUUCUCUCUUGCGCAUCUCCAUUAGGCAUUAGAAUCUUGCAAUACAAGAGAAACGCAUUUCCGAACCAAACGCUCAAAAAAGGGAUAAUCACCAUCAACCUAAUUUGGACCUUAUGUUAUGGUCUUAUCACUUAUGAGAAUAUACAACUACGUAAUAAUGUACAGUAAUAUAAUAAGAUAGCAGGGAUGCCUACUGCCAAGGGACAUUUAAUACGGAGUAUUUAUACACAACUCAGAUUUCAGAUUUAUGGCCGGGCCGGGCCGGGCCGGGUAAGCUAUGGAUUACAAUUACCAAACUUUAAACUUUUCUUGCCUUGUACUCCAAGUUUUGGUUUAAUUAGUAAUUUCUCUGUGAACGCAAUCCCAAAUCUUAAUAGACCUUGCACCAAUCAUAAAACUAUUGGACUACUCCGUAUGUAUUUACUAAACUACGGAGUAAGUAUUACGGGACAAUAGACACUUGUAAUCUCCACUUUUUAAAUCGGACUUGAACUUAAUGAUGAACCUACCGACUCGUACAGUCGUACUACAAAGUACCAACAUUAUAUUACUUAAUUGCGAACUACUCCCUCCGUCCCAAAAUUAUUGUCAUAUUUUCUAAAUCUGGCGUUCCAAAAUUAUAGUCAUGUUUCUAAUUUUGGAUACUAAGGUUCCCACUUUUUAAUGUACUGUAUUAAUUAAAAAUGAAUUGAAAACCCCACCCAUGUACUAUAUUUCACUUUCCUACGUACUAUAUUCUCUUUCACGUGUACUUUAUUCCACUUUUUCAUGUACUAUAUUCUACUUUUCUUAAAAUUCGAGUUUUUGGUCAAACAGGACGAUAAUGAUGGGACCAGGCCCUGUUCUGGGGCAGCGCGGGGUGAGCAACGGGACAGGGCCCCUAAAUUUUAAUUUGGUAUAUAGUAAAAAUAGUCUCCCUAAUGUACAUAAAAACUAAGUUGUAGUAUUGGUUAAGGUCAUGGCUUACAAACCACGGGUAUUGGGUUUGAUUCUCCUUACAAUGAAAUUUAUUUUGCUUACUUUUAGAGCUGUACUUUUUUUAUUAUUAUUAUUAUUUCUUUUUUUUGAAAUUUCAUCCAGUUAUGGUUUUUAGCAUUUUCGGAGAUUACAAUGCUCCAAUUUCUUUCCUUCGGUUGUCGUUCAAUGUUCCCCAAACCAAAUCCUUCAAUUAAAUUUGAUUCAUUCCUCCCCUAAUCUUUUUAAGUGAUUUCAUUAAUGUUUUCUUUUUUUGUUAUGUUUAUCAUUUCGACAAAUUUAUGUAAGAGAUGGUUUUUCGUUUGAUAAAAGUUGAUUUUUUUUAUAUUAUUAAAGUAAUGAAUUGAGGGUCCUAUUUUGAGAAAUUGCACAGGGUCUAUUAUUAUGACGUGAUUAUAGCCCCGACACUGUAUGAGACGGAGAGAGUAUAAGGUUUUAUUAAGAAGGGUGACCAAAGUUUGAGAUUUACUGGUCAUUCUAUUAAGGCAAAGAUGGCCCAUCUAAGCAAAUUAUAUUUUUUUUUUGACAUGAAAUGCGUAGCUUGUAUUAAUCAAAGAAGCGUCUUGUCCGCAAGAACAAGAUGAUAAAGGUUUGGUGGACAUUCCUCCAUGAAUACCAAGGGCUCUUCAAAGUGAAGGGCUGCCUUAGCUAUGGAGUGAGCUACUACAUUACAGCCGUGACUUCUUUCCUCUUUCCCUGGAGCAUAUCAAUCAGCAAAGAGCAAUCUGACUCCAUCUCUAUAGACCGUAGUCCUGCUUCAAAAGCAAGUUUCAUCCCAAAGCGAACACCUUCAGCCUCCGCCUGCAGGGCACCCAUAUUCCCUUCUAUGUUUCGUCCCCCACUCAUCAUCACGUCACCAAUUCCAUCCCUUACAAUCAUCCCCAACCCGAUUGCUCCCACCUUUGGCACAGCUGCAUCAGUAUUCAGUUUAUACAAAGUGCUUUGUGGGGGUUUCCAUGUUGCGUUAGGUACAGCUCCUCUCUCUAACUGGUGUUGUCCUCUUACUGUUGCUGCCUCGAACUCCCCUAAGUAAGUCAGCAUCUUCGAGCACACCCUCCCAAGAUCUUCCUUUCUUUUUUCAAAAACCCAUUUAUUCCGCAUAUUCCAGGCCUGCCAUACCACCAUCAUAGCUAUCUCCCACAUACGAUCCACUUUACAUAGCUUUGCAUACUCCUCACACCACACAAAGAAGUUGCGUGCCCCUUCCUGUGCUUCUAGACGAAGUGGUGACAUUCGUCAUAGCGUUCUGCUGCCCACACACUGGAGUACCAUGUGGGUAAUUGUCUCCGGAGCUUCUCCACACUGUGGGCAAAUUAUAGAGUACUUAUAAGUAGAGGAAGAUAUAUGUAUAUCAGUAUAUACAUUGAUACUCCGUAAUAACGAGGUCAAUUGACCCAACUUAAAUCGUCAAAAUUUGGAAUUUCCUUGCACAA